rnacentral:rRNA from 1 species
UGGGGAAUAUUGCACAAUGGGCGAAAGCCUGAUGCAGCAACGCCGCGUGAGUGAUGAAGGUCUUCGGAUUGUAAAGCUCUGUCUUUUGGGACGAUAAUGACGGUACCAAAGGAGGAAGCCACGGCUAACUACGUGCCAGCAGCCGCGGUAAUACGUAGGUGGCGAGCGUUGUCCGGAUUUACUGGGCGUAAAGGGUGCGUAGGCGGAUGUUUAAGUGAGAUGUGAAAUACCCGGGCUUAACUUGGGUGCUGCAUUUCAAACUGGAUAUCUAGAGUGCAGGAGAGGAGAAUGGAAUUCCUAGUGUAGCGGUGAAAUGCGUAGAGAUUAGGAAGAACACCAGUGGCGAAGGCGAUUCUCUGGACUGUAACUGACGCUGAGGCACGAAAGCGUGGGUAGCAAACAGGAUUAGAUACCCUGGUAGUCCACGCCGUAAACGAUGAGUACUAGGUGUAGGAGGUAUCGACCCCCUUCUGUGCCGCAGU